rnacentral:tmRNA from 1 species
GGGGCUGAUUCUGGAUUCGACGGGAUUUGCGAAACCCAAGGUGCAUGCCGAGGGGCGGUUGGCCUCGUAAAAAGCCGCAAAAAAAUAGUCGCAAACGACGAAACCUACGCUUUAGCAGCUUAAUAACCUGCUUAGAGCCCUCUCUCCCUAGCCUCCGCUCUUAGGACGGGGAUCAAGAGAGGUCAAACCCAAAAGAGAUCGCGCGGAUGCCCUGCCUGGGGUUGAAGCGUUAAAACGAAUCAGGCUAGUCUGGUAGUGGCGUGUCCGUCCGCAGGUGCCAGGCGAAUGUAAAGACUGACUAAGCAUGUAGUACCGAGGAUGUAGGAAUUUCGGACGCGGGUUCAACUCCCGCCAGCCCACCA